GUGUCAGCCGCCGCGGUAAUACGUAGGGGGCAAGCGUUGUCCGGAAUCAUUGGGCGUAAAGAGCGUGUAGGCGGUCCGAUAAGUCCGCUCUGAAAGCCCGGGGCUCAACCCCGGGAGGCGGGCGGAUACUGUCGGGCUAGAGUCCGGAAGAGGCAAGUGGAAUUCCUGGUGUAGCGGUGAAAUGCGCAGAUAUCAGGAGGAACACCGAUGGCGAAGGCAGCUUGCUGGGACGGUACUGACGCUGAGACGCGAAAGCGUGGGGAGCAAACAGGAUUAGAUACCCUGGUAGUCCACGCUGUAAACGAUGGUCACUAGGUGUGGGGGGUGUCGACUCCCCCCGUGCCGGCGCUAACGCAUUAAGUGACCCGCCUGGGGAGUACGGCCGCAAGGCUAAA
rnacentral:rRNA from 1 species